AACUCUAAGCGGUGGAUCACUCGGCUCAUGGGUCGAUGAAGAACGCAGCAAACUGUACGUCAUCGUGUGGACUGCAGGACAUGCUUAAGACUAUGCUUAAGUUGUUUAUAAAUUUUAUAAGCAUAUGGUAUAUUAUUGGAUAAAAUAAUAAUUUUUUUAUUCA
rnacentral:rRNA from 1 species